rnacentral:rRNA from 1 species
CCUACGGGUGGCAGCAGUGGGGAAUAUUGCACAAUGGGCGCAAGCCUGAUGCAGCCAUGCCGCGUGUGUGAAGAAGGCCUUCGGGUUGUAAAGCACUUCCAGCGGGGAGGAAGGCGGUGAGGUUAAUAACCUCAUCGAUUGACAUUACCCGCAGAAGAAGCACCGGCUAACUCCGUGCCAGCAGCCGCGGUAAUACGGAGGGUGCAAGCGUUAAUCGGAAUUACUGGGCGUAAAGCGCACGCAGGCGGUCUGUCAAGUCGGAUGUGAAAUCCCCGGGCUCAACCUGGGAACUGCAUUCGAAACUGGCAGGCUAGAGUCUUGUAGAGGGGGGUAGAAUUCCAGGUGUAGCGGUGAAAUGCGUAGAGAUCUGGAGGAAUACCGGUGGCGAAGGCGGCCCCCUGGACAAAGACUGACGCUCAGGUGCGAAAGCGUGGGGAGCAAACAGGAUUAGAUACCCGAGUAGUC